rnacentral:rRNA from 1 species
UACAGAGGAGCCAAGCGUUGUCCGGAUUGACUGGGCGUAAAGCGUGCGCAGGCGGUUGGGCAAGACAGAUGUGAAAUCCCCGGGCUCAACCUGGGAAUGGCAUUUGUGACUGUCCGGCUAGAGUGUGUCAGAGGGGGUGGAAUUCCGCGUGUAGCAGUGAAAUGCGUGGAGAUGCGGAGGAACACCGAUGGCGAAGGCAGCCCCCUGGGCCAACACUGACGCUCAGGCACGAAAGCGUGGGGAGCAAACGAGG